rnacentral:rRNA from 1 species
UACGUAGGGUGCGAGCGUUAAUCGGAAUUACUGGCCGUAAAGCGUGCGCAGGCGGUUUUGUAAGCCAGAUGUGAAAUCCCCGAGCUUAACCUGGGAAUGGCAUUUGGGACUGCAAGGCUCGAGUGCGGCAGAGGAGACUGGAAUUCCUGGUGUAGCAGUGAAAUGCGUAGAUAUCUGGAGGAACACCGGUGGCGAAGGCGGCAUCCUGGACCGGCAUUGACGCUGAGGCGCGAAAGCUAGGGGAGCAAACGGG